AUCUGUAACAUCAGUGAACUGCUCACUAAAUUGUUUCAGGCUCAACUUUGAUCACUAAAUCACCAAAACCUCAAAUUGCUAAAACUAGCACUGACCAGCUUCAAUAAACAGAGCCAAAGGAUGCUGAAGCUUGAAUAUCUGAGAUCUUAAACUUAUGGCACUUCAAGGACUUUGGAGCAACCAGAAGAUACAGAGGAAAUCAAGGCCUGGAAAGCUCUCCCCAUAUGUCAUCACAGAGGUGAAGUGAGUAGCAACUGUGACUCAGG
rnacentral:lncRNA from 1 species